AGCCCAGCUAGGGUUUUUAUUAUCUCCUAAAUGUUUAAUUUUUAAUAUGUAAAUGUUUCUGACUUUCAAGGGUUAAACAUAAACAGUAUGUGGAUAUUUAUGUGUGCCGCAAUUCCAUUUGAAUUAAUGUUAUGUAGAUUACAGUCAAGUUUAUGUGAGGUGUACAUGUCUCAACAUGUGGGUUUGAUCAGCAUGUAUGUUUUUUUAUUUGUGAUUGGACAUUAGUUUACUUGCUCCCGCCUAUGUGUGGGUAUUGAUCAUUUCGAUUGGGAGAGCGGCGGGCGAGAGAUCGAGGCAGAUCGGAAAGAGAUGUCGCAUUUUGUCUCUGGUGAUUUCGAGAGAAAAUAUACCCAAAUAACUGCUGACUAAGUGGUCAAAGAGUAUAUUUAGUAUACAGAAAGUGUUAAAGAACGUUUCUGUAAUUUGUUUGAUUUGUUAUACUUUGACUAAGAGUUUAAACGGACUUAUGUUACUGCUGCUAUGUGCACUGUAAUCUCUUUUUUCUUUUUUUACGUCGAGUAAAAUCUACUCGCGGCAUCUGAGUUCAUAAAUCGUUCCGAGGAAGACGAGUACAUUACGAGGAACCAGAUAGCGUUCUAAAUCCCCUCGUGGUUUAGAAUUCCUCUGGCAUCGCGGGAUUCACAAUCAUUCAGCGGACAGCUGGUGAGACUGCAGACGCAUACGGAGUGUCCAACGUGAUCGGUGGAUCGGCGUGUCGAAACGGGAAGACUCAGACAGCAUUUCCCACAAGCGAGGCAACCACAGGCACACAUGGAGCAGACCAUUCCACUGACUUACUGCCAGAAAGUGACUGAGUGGUGUGGCCACCGGCAGCAGUAUAGCCUCUUGUGGUGGUGGGCCCUUUACCUAUUUGCAGUGAUCACAGUGGAGUGUGCCGUGCUGUGGUGUAUGUGUGUGUGUGCACGCGUGAGUGUGUGAUCUCCUCUGCUCAAAGGACGCCAGGCCUUCCCCCUACUUGAAGUGGGACGUUUUGUUUGUUUCUAAUUAUUUGAUAUAGUGAAUAAAAUUUGAAUCUGUUUUAAAUAAAGUUGUCCUAACUUAACUCUGGCCUGAUACCUGACCCAGUCGUGACGAACCUGUGUGCUUUAAAGUUAAGGGCAGUCCCGGAUAUAGCCUCCGGGUGGCGUUGUCUGUAGAACUUACCAGUCCGUAACGCCACACAAACACCACAUGAGUGCCACGGUAGCAGAAGAUGUCCGGCUUGACAUGUCUGUUUUCAACUCUGCCCCCGACUAAGCGGCUACUCUCGUUGAUUGCCGUGCUUCAAGUCGAACGCACCCAUUUGAAUGAUUCGGUUCAAUCGCAAUGACUCACUUAUUAACAGUGACUUGCUGCUGCCUACUGGCGGUUUUAAUUUCACAUUUAAAGUACCUUUUUAUUAUUUAAAUAUUUUCAAAUAUUUCAAACAGUAUUAAACAUUUUCUUUUUUUAUAUAUCAAAACAUUAUUUAUGCAUUUGUAUAAAUAAGCCUUUGUAAAGGUAAAUAAAAAUAUGCAGAUCUGAGUAUGUAAAAGCUAACAAAACACUAAUGAAAAUAUUUAUUCUGAAUGUAUUGUUACUGUAACUGUAUACUGUAGAUUAUUGUAAUCCUGUAUUGGGUGGUUGUUCUACAUGUUUGGUAAACAAACUCCAGGUAUUCCAAAAUGCAGCAGCUAUAGUUCUUACUAGAACCAGGAAGUAUGACCAUAUUAGCCCUGUUCUGUCCACACUGCACUGGCUACCUAUCAAACAUUGUAUAGAUUUUUAACUCUUGCUUAUUACUUAUAAAGCCCUGAAUGGUUUAGCACCUCAGUACUUGAAUGAGCUUUUGUUACAUUAUAAUCCCCCAUGUCCGCUGCGUUCUCAAAACUCAAUUUGCUAAAACCUAGAAUGUCAAAAUCAAUAUCGUAGCAGAUCCUUUUCUUAUUUGUCGAAAUAUAAAACUCUGGAAUAACCUACCUAACCGAAAUAUAAUAAACUCUGGGAUAACCUACCUAACAUUGUUCAGGAGGCAGGCACUCUUGCAGUUUAAAUCUAGAUUAAAGACCCAUCUCUUUGACCUGGCUUACACAUAACACACUAAUAUGGUUCUAAUAUCCAAAUCCGUUAAAGCAUUUUUAGGCAACAUUAAUUAGGUAAACCGGAACCUGGAACACUUCCCAUAACACCCGAUGUACUUGCUACAUCAUUAGAAGAAUCGCAUAUGCUAAUAUUAGUCUGUUUCUCUCUUAUUCCGAGGUCAUCGUAGCCACCAGAUCCAGUCUGUAUCAAGAUCAGAGGGUCACUGCAGUCACCCGGAUCCAGUAUGUAUCCAGACCAGAUGGUGGAUCAACACCUAGAAAGGACAUCUACAGCCCUGAAAGACUGAGGAGACCAGGACAACUAGAGCCCCAGAUACAGAUCCCAUGUAAAGACCUUGCCUCAGACGACCACUGGAACAAGACCACAGGAAACAGAUUAUUCUUCUGCCAAUCUGACUUUUCUGCAACUUGGAUUUGAACUGCUGGUUUCGUCUGGUCAGAGGAGAACUGGCCCCCCAACUAAGCCUAGUUUCUCCCAAGGUUUUUUCUCCAUUCUGUCACCGAUGGAGUUUUGGUUCCUUGCCGCUGUAGCCUCUGGCUUGCUUAGUUGGGAUCACUUCAUUUACAGCGAUAUCGUUGACUCGAUUGCAAAUUAUUUCACAGACACUAUUUAAACUGAACUGAGAUGAUGACAUCACUGAAUUCAAUGAUGAACUGCCUUUAACUGUAAUUUUGCAUUAUUGACACACUGUUUUCCUAAUUAAUGUUGAUCAGUUGCUUUGAUGCAAUCCUUUUUGUUUAAAGCGCUUAUAUAAAUAAAUGUGACUUGUCUUGUAAAUAUGAGAAUUGUACUGUAUCCUCAAGACUGUAUUGUACAGUAUUUUAUCUUCUACUAUAAAGAUAAAGAUUGAACAAAAUAAUAAUUUAGAAGGGCCUCAUCUUUAAAUUUUGCAUGGUGCCCCCACUUCAUCUUGGUUUUCCUCUGUGUACAUGGAAGCAACUCCAGGAGGAUGACGUAUGAGGUCAGCUUUGCAUAUACGCCGCUCAGAAGUGAUGAGCGUGGAAGUGCAGUGAAGAGAUCAAAACAAAACAGCGGUCACUAAUUAGAAGUACAAAACAAGGAUUUG